rnacentral:rRNA from 1 species
UUCGGUUCCUGAGUAAAGUGGCGCACGGGUGAGUAACGCGUAGAUAAUCUACCCAGGUAUUCGGGACAACAUCGGGAAACUGAUGCUAAUACCGGAUACGUUCUAAUCGUAGCGAUAUGAUAAGAAGAAAGGUGGCCUCUCCUUGGAAGCUACCGUACUUGGAUGAGUCUGCGUACCAUUAGCUAGUUGGUAGGUAAGGGCCUACCAAGGCAACGAUGGUUAGCGGGUCUGAGAGGAUGAUCCGCCACACUGGCACUGGAACACGGGCCAGACUCC